rnacentral:rRNA from 1 species
ACCUUGUGAAAUGAAACAUCUUAGUAUCAAGAGGAAAAAAAAUCAAACGAGAUGAACUGAUUAGCGGCGAGCAAAAGGGGAAGAGGUUAAUAGAUAUAAGUUUUUUUAUUUAAUGAAAUAAAAACAGUAAAAUGUUCCAUAAUUUAUUUAAUUAUUUAUAUGAAUAUGGUUCCAUAGAAGGUAUUGAGUCCUGUAAUUAAAAUAAGAUUUUAUAUUUUUAAGUAGGGCAAAUUGCUUAGUUUGUUUGAAUAUAAGGAAAACCAUUUUCUAAACCUAAAUAUAGAAUUAUAUCGAUAGUGUACAAGUACCUUAAGGGAAAGAUGAAAAGAACCUUUAUUAUCUUAUAUGGAGUGAAAUAGUUUUGAAAUUAAACACAUAAGAGCUAUUGGAGUAACAAUUGUUAUAACAAUGUACCUUUUGUAUAAUGGGUCGACGAGUUAAUUUAUUUAAUAAAUUUAAAAUAUUUGAGAGAUUUUUAAAAGUGUAGCGAAAGCG